rnacentral:lncRNA from 1 species
GAUUCACAAACAGUGUCUAGAACACAUGGUGGCCUCCCAGUGUUAACAAGAAAUGUCUGAAUCGCUUGUAAACAUCGUCAAAUAAUGUGAAGAUUUGUCAUUUUGAUUGCUGGUUCUUAAGACUGUGGUUAAAAUAAUCUUGUUGACUAUGGACCUGCUAGAUUGGAAGUCUCCACGGGUUAGGUGGCUCUCCAGAGAGGUGCCUGCCAAACAGUGAUGUGAGUCUGUCUACAUCAUAAAGCAGCAGUAUCUAGAACAUGAGAUUUCUAGACCUCUAUAGCAGCAGAAGUGAGCUAGAGGGCUCUCUGGGGACUUUGCACUGCUUCUGCCCAGAGACAGACCUUCCACAGCAGCUGCAGUUGAAGAGCAGAAUUAAACAGGCACACAGAAGAGACUAUUCUAGGACCUGCCUCUCACCAACUUGCAGUAUGACUCCAAAAUACGAAGCUCACGGAUCUAUCCUAGACCCUAGAAAAGACUACUGUGCACUGGCACAUAGACACUUUGACUGCAACGCUGGAUAG